UACGUAGGGUGCGAGCGUUAAUCGGAAUUACUGGGCGUAAAGUGUGCGCAGGCGGCCAUGCAAGUCGAGUGUGAAAGCCCCGGGCUUAACUUGGGAAUUGCGCUCGAAACUACGUGGCUGGAGUGUGGCAGAGGAAGGUGGAAUUCCACGUGUAGCGGUGAAAUGCGUAGAGAUGUGGAGGAACACCAAUGGCGAAGGCAGCCUUCUGGGCCGAACACUGACGCUCAUGCACGAAAGCGUGGGGAGCAAACAGG
rnacentral:rRNA from 1 species